rnacentral:rRNA from 1 species
AUUGAACGCUGGCGGCAGGCCUAACACAUGCAAGUCGAGCGGAUGAAGGGAGCUUGCUCCUGGAUUCAGCGGCGGACGGGUGAGUAAUGCCUAGGAAUCUGCCUGGUAGUGGGGGAUAACGUCCGGAAACGGGCGCUAAUACCGCAUACGUCCUGAGGGAGAAAGUGGGGGAUCUUCGGACCUCACGCUAUCAGAUGAGCCUAGGUCGGAUUAGCGAGUUGGUGUGGUAAAGGCCUACCAAGGCGACGAUCCGUAACUGGUCUGAGAGGAUGAUCAGUCACACUGGAACUGAGACACGGUCCAGACUCCUACGGGAGGCAGCAGUGGUGAAUAUUGGACAAUGGGCGAAAGCCUGAUCCAGCCAUGCCGCGUGUGUGAAGAAGGUCUUCGGAUUGUAAAGCACUUUAAGUUGGGAGGAAGGGCAGUAAGUUAAUACCUUGCUGUUUUGACGUUACCAACAGAAUAAGCACCGGCUAACUUCGUG